UGAGCCCAGUAUCCCCGCGGAAUCGCGCCCGGCCUGCACACUCCGGGGAGAAGUCCCCGUCCCGCGGAGUCGCUUCUCUCGACUCGCGCUCGACUCCGCGAGGUCGAGCGGAGGAGCGCCGCCGCCGCCGCCUGAUCUCCUCCGACGACCUCGCCAUGGCAGUGUCACCUCCGCCGGCGUCUCUACAGCGACCGCCUUGUUCGCAUCAGAUCCUGUUGAAGCAGAGCAAGACCCGGACGUGGUGCAGUAAGCGUGCGCUUCCUCUUUCUAGCCCUUCUAGGUUGGCCACUUGUUCCAGUUUGCAGAAUUACCUUUGGAACACCUGGAGAAGGACAAUGCAGUGGCAAGGCCUACGGAAGCAUGUCAAACGGAGUUUCAUCAUUUGUUUUGAAGAAACCUCGAUUCCAUUUUAUUCAUCCACGUGAUUUUUCUUUGGUUUUCGUGGAAGAAACUACUACCUAGCUAAUAACUAUCUCCAUGGUCUGUAAUUCAUUAUUUGGUCAAAAUAGUUUGUAAUAUAGGAUUCGUUUUGUGUGAAUCAUUUUGGCCAUGUCUCAUCGUGACUAUAUUGGUGCUAGUCGAGAUGGAUUAAGCUUAUAUGGAAUAGCAUAUGCUUGUUACCUCAAUUACCAUACAGUAACUAUUCUGUUAUUUUGGAUGAUAUCUUUAUAAUAUAUAGAUUAAACU